rnacentral:rRNA from 1 species
AUGGGGCGCAGCAGGGGCGAACACUUUACAAUGCGGGAAACCGCGAUAAGGGAACCCCGAGUGCCAGCAUCAAAUGUUGGCUGUCCAGAUGAUUAAAAAUCAUUUGUUAGCAAGGGCCGGGCAAGACCGGUGCCAGCCGCCGCGGUAACACCGGCGGCCCGAGUGGUAGCCGUUUUUAUUGGGUCUAAAGGGUCCGUAGCCGGCUUGAUAAGUCCUUUGGGAAAUCUGGCAGUUUAACUGUCAGGCUUCUAAGGGAUACUGUCAGGCUUGGGACCGGAAGAGGUAAGGGGUACUCCAGGGGUAGGAGUGAAAUCCUGUAAUCCCUGGGGGACCAUCUGUGGCGAAGGCGCCUUACCAGGACAGGUCCGACGGUGAGGGACGAAAGCUAGGGGAGCAAACCGGAUUAGAUACCCGGGUAGUCCUAGCUGUAAACGAUGCUCGCUAGGUGUCAGGCACGGUGCGUCCGUGUUUGGUGCCGUAGGGAAGCCGAGAAGCGAGCCACCUGGGAAGUACGGUCGCAAGGCUGAAACUUAAAGGAAUUGGCGGGGGAGCAC